UCCUUCCGAUUCCUCCACAGGGUCGCCCCGAAGACCACGAGCGCCGCGGCUGACGUGCUGCAGCCACAGGUUGAAUGACAAAGAGCCCCCGUCAGCACUGCCCUCUUGGCAAAGUCCACUCGAACCCUGCAGUCACGCCUUGGCUGCAGGGACUGCAGAUUUCCAAACCACUCUCGCCAGUUACCAGAUCAAACGCAUCUCUUAAGGCGCCUCCUGAAGACUAGUGGGGAAACGACUUCCCCAAGGUCACCGGUACCAGGACCCAACUUCUCCGUCAGGCCGGUGGCUGGCACCUGACCAGGGGGCCCGCAGCUCGGCUGGGAGAGGCGCUGUCCGCAGCGCCUCAAGGUCUCCUUGCCCAACGCGGCGCCCCGGGACCACGCGGCUGCUCUUGGCCACUUGCCCCUACCGGGCCGCCUCCCCUCCCGGGAGACGAAGGUCCCCGCUCGCCCGAGGCUCCCUCCCUUAAGCCUAGGCAGCCAGGGCGCCCUGGGGUCCGCAUCCAGCGCCGCGGGCGGAUUACCCAACUAACCGUUAUGCGCGGCUCCGGCGUCAGCUUGUGCGUGACGAGGCGAAGAGGCGGCGAGGCCGGAGCUCCGCGAGGCCCAGGGCCCAGGUCGCGUCCUUCUCCCGCUGCCUCCUUGACUCCCUCCAGCACCCUCGAGGUUGGCUAGUCACCUCGCCGCUCGCCAGUACUUUGUCGGGCCCGGCCGGCGAAGAGGCUUUAUAACCUGCGCGGGGCGGGAGGGGGGGGGCCGGAGCAUGCGCAAAGGGGGCGGAGUCAGCCUUCCCAGCCGCCGCCCCCCUUCCUCCCCCACCUCCAUACUUAACACUCCAACUGCCACUCGCGCCUCCACAGGGUGGUUUCGGGCGCAGGCGCGCGCUCCGGGGCGCGCUCUCGAUCGCGCGCGCCAGCGCCCCCUCCCCGCCACGUGAUCUGUAGCCAGGCGCGACCCGCGCGCGGGUCCCCAGCUCAAUGGCGGGGCUAGGGACCCUCUUCUCCACGGAGGUAGUCGCCCCUCCAUCGUCCGAGGCGUUCGUGGAAACCUGCACGCGUGCGGCACACUGAUGCCGGGUUUCUGACGUAAAAAGGGGAAAGCCGCCAAGGACGGAUGCCGCGCGCCCCUAGGGGCCUGACUCAGGUUGAUAGACUGGAUGAGGCACGGGUGAUCGAUCCACUGUUCACAAGCUUGUUCAGUGAGCACAGCUUCUGAAGACUUCAAGGAGAGAACUCUCAUUCAGAACAUCUUCCUCUAGUUUCACAUUCUGUAUCAAGUGUAGUGCUGCCUCUUCCCAAGGGCUGGCUGGAUCUGGACCUGAGAUAAACUCGCCACUCCUUGAAGGAAGUUGAUGUGAUGCACUCCGAGCCCCUCCCUGACCUCAUCCUGCUCUUUUUUGACUCCUCCCUUAAUCUCACUGGCCUGCAGUCUGACAUUCUAAUCAGUUGGUUUCUUUGGGUUUCUGCUAGCAGGAGAUAAGUGAGCAGAAGAGUUUGGUAGAAAACAAAUUGGUUGCAAUAAAAAUUUCUUCAACAUAACAAAUUAGUCCAAAAAAAUUAUUUCCAA